CACGCAGGCGGCCCUGUAAGUCUGACGUGAAAGCUCUUGGCUUAACUGAGAGAGGUCGUUGGAAACUGCGGGGCUUGAGGCAAUGAGAGGGGUGCGGAAUUCCCGGUGUAGUGGUGGAAUGCGUAGAUAUCGGGAGGAACACCAGUGGCGAAAGCGGCACCCUGGCAUUGACCUGACGCUCAUGUGCGAAAGCGUGGGGAGCGAACG
rnacentral:rRNA from 1 species